rnacentral:rRNA from 1 species
GACGAACGCUGGCGGCGUGCUUAACACAUGCAAGUCGAACGGAGCGAUUUAUUUCGGUAAAUCGCUUAGUGGCAAACGGGUGAGUAACGCGUAGGCAACCUGCCCUCAGGAUGGGGACAACGGCUCGAAAGAGCCGCUAAUACCGAAUGACGUAACUCUUCCACAUGGAAGAGAUACUAAAGAUGGGUCAAACCAUCGCCUAAGGAUGGGCCUGCGUCUGAUUAGCCAGUUGGUGAGGUAACGGCUCACCAAAGCGACGAUCAGUAGCCGGUCUGAGAGGAUGAACGGCCACAAUGGGACUGAGACACGGCCCAUACUCCUACGGGAGGCAGCAGUGGGGAAUCUUCCGCAAUGGGCGAAAGCCUGACGGAGCAACGCCGCGUGAGUGAAGAAGGUCUUCGGAUCGUAAAGCUCUGUUGUCGGGGACGAAAGGGUAGACGAGGUAAUGCGU